rnacentral:rRNA from 1 species
UACGGAGGGGGCUAGCGUUAUUCGGAAUUAUUGGGCGUAAAGGGCGUGUAGGCGGCUACGUAUGUCCCAUGUGAAAUCCCUCGGCUUAACCGAGGAACUGCCUGCCAGACUGGAUGGCUCGAGACCGGGAGAGGUGAGUGGAAUUCCCAGUGUAGCGGUGAAAUGCGUAGAUAUUGGGAGGAACACCAGUGGCGAAGGCGGCUCACUGGACCGGUACUGACGCUGAGGCGCGAAAGCGUGGGGAGCAAACAGGG